rnacentral:snRNA from 1 species
AGCUUUGCGUAGUGGCAGUAUCGUAGCCAAUGAGGUUUAUCCGAGGCGCGAUUAUUGCUAAUUGAAAACUUUUCCCAAUACCCCGCCGACUUGAAAUAUAGUCGGCAUUGGCAAUUUUUGACAGUCUCUAUGGAGA